CAGCAGCGGUAAUACGGAGGGUGCAAGCGUUAUCCGGAUUUAUUGGGUUUAAAGGGUCCGUAGGCGGAUCUGUAAGUCAGUGGUGAAAUCUCACAGCUUAACUGUGAAACUGCCAUUGAUACUGCAGGUCUUGAGUAAAUUUGAAGUGGCUGGAAUAAGUAGUGUAGCGGUGAAAUGCAUAGAUAUUACUUAGAACACCAAUUGCGAAGGCAGGUCACUAAGAUUUAACUGACGCUGAUGGACGAAAGCGUGGGGAGCGAACAGGAUUAGAUACCCCCGUAGUCCCUGUCUCUUAUACACA
rnacentral:rRNA from 1 species